rnacentral:tRNA from 1 species
GGGAAUGUAGCUCAGUGAUAGAGCACUUGCCUAACAUAUGGGAGGCCCUGGGUUCAAUCCCCAGUACCA